GCCUCACGGCCGUCGGCGUUGCUGGGAAGUUGACCAAACUUGAUCAUUUAGAGGAAGUAAAAGUCGUAACAAGGUUUCCGUAGGGGAACCUGCGGAAGGAUCAUUAACGUUUUC
rnacentral:rRNA from 1 species